rnacentral:rRNA from 1 species
CCUACGGGUGGCAACAGUCGAGAAUCAUUCACAAUGGGGGAAACCCUGAUGGUGCGACGCCGCGUGGGGGAAUGAAGGUCUUCGGAUUGUAAACCCCUGUCAUGUGGGAGCAAAUUAAAAAGAUAGUACCACAAGAGGAAGAGACGGCUAACUCUGUGCCAGCAGCCGCGGUAAUACAGAGGUCUCAAGCGUUGUUCGGAAUCACUGGGCGUAAAGCGUGCGUAGGCUGUUUCGUAAGUCGUGUGUGAAAGGCGCGGGCUCAACCCGCGGACGGCACAUGAUACUGCGAGACUAGAGUAAGGGAGGGGGAACCGGAAUUCUCGGUGUAGCAGUGAAAUGCGUAGAUAUCGAGAGGAACACUCGUGGCGAAGGCGGGUUCCUGGACAUUAACUGACGCUGAGGCACGAAGGCCAGGGGAGCGAAAGGGAUUAGAUACCCUAGUAGUC